rnacentral:rRNA from 1 species
GACGAACGCUGGCGGCGUGCUUAACACAUGCAAGUCGAACGGUGAAGCGCCUUCCUUUUUGGUGGGUGUGGAUGAGUGGCGAACGGGUGAGUAACACGUGAGUAACCUGCCCCCUUCUGCUGGAUAACCGCAUGAAAGUGUGGCUAAUACGGGAUAUUUUGGGUCUGUCGCUUGAUGGGUCUGGGAAAGAUAUUGUUUCGGUGGGGGAUGGGCUCGCGGCCUAUCAGCUUGUUGGUGGGGUGAUGGCCUACCAAGGCGGUGACGGGUAGCCGGCCUGAGAGGGUGGGCGGCACCAGUGCGGCUACACGGCCGCGCCGCCUCCGGCAGGCAGCAGCAGGGAGGAUUAUGGCACGGGGGGCGCCAGGCUGAUGCAGCGCCGCCGCGGUGGUGAUGGAGUCCUUCGGGUUGUGCACCUCUUUCGCCAGUGAAGCAAGCCUGCCGCGUUUGUGGGUGGGUUGACGGUAGCUGAAUAAGAAGCGCCGGCUAACUACGUG